UUCUUUGCUAGGUGUUCCCUCUGAGUCAGUGGCACACUGGGCUUAUAGUUCUUAAUUAUUCUCUCAACAAGGAUUCAUUAACUUUCCCAACUGUAGCAGCUGGGGAAAAGGAACAGUUGUUCAGACUUAACCAGUAUUGAAAACAGUCUUCAGGCCUUUGUGGUCUCCCAACAAUAGGCAAUUGGAGUUCAGGAAAACAUUUGACUUAUUGCCCAUACAGAAAACUUAAGUCUUCUCCACUUGAGCAAGGCAAGUCUUGGAAUGUUCUCUCAUCUUGCCUAAACUUGCCCACAAGUUUCCUGCUAACCAAACUUUAAGAUGUGACUCCCAUACAGCCUCCGCAUAUCAAGUUUUGCUCAUGGCCCCGCCCUCCCAAGGCACAGAGUACUGCCAGCCUUCCAGAGACCGAUGGGAACUUACAGGAUGAGACAAGCCCAGGACUGAUAAAGGUUGUGUGGCGGUAUGUGACCGUUCCAUUUCUGUGGCCUUAUCCACACAACUCCAAGAUUGGUUCCCCAGCCUGCUAUUAAAUACAGAGCCCUUAACAUCUUCAAAACAUUCCCUGAGCCAUUCCUAGGAGUUGACCAAGUAGCCCACAUCAGCUUCCAGUUCUACGGGGUCCAAUGUACAAAUCUGUGAUUUCAGCCAGACAGAAGACUACCUGACAACUUGGAGGAUCCGUGUGACAGUAGAGAGUCACUGUAUUGUCAGGAUUACCAACAACAUCAGGAGCUGAGACCGUGCCAGGAGAACAAAAUCUCAUCCACUCCAGCCAGAGUGACUAGGAAGGUCAGGUGGCUGCAUUCUGAACCAUCUAUUGACUAACUAAGGGACCAUCUAUCGACUAGGGGACCAUCUAUUGACCAGGGGACCAUCUAUUGACCAGGGGACCAUCUAUUGACCAGGGGACCAUCUAUUAACCAGGAGACCAUCUAUUGACCAGGAGACCAUCUAUUGACC